rnacentral:lncRNA from 1 species
GGGAUCUUUGGAAGAGCAUCCGUGACCCCUGUAGUCCGAUCGUAGGUGGAGCCCCCAGAACCAUGUGCCGAGCCCGCUGCUUUUGGAGACACGCUUCACAUACACUACACGGGAAGCUUGGUAGAUGGACGUAUUAUUGACACCUCCCUGACCAGAGACCCUCUGGUUAUAGAACUUGGCCAAAAGCAGGUGAUUCCAGGUCUGGAGCAGAGUCUUCUCGACAUGUGUGUGGGGUGAGUAUCUCGGCAGGGGUGGGCCUGGGUACCCCCUUUGCAUGGGUAGAGGCUUUCUCGGCCAUCCUCACUCCUUAAGCAGGAGAAUGUGGAAUAAAGGACCCUGCUUCCCACUGGACAGGUCCAGGUCAGUGGGACCUCUGAGGGCAUUCAAAGCCUCUGUGCCUCUUGCGCUGUUGCUUUUGUCGGGGGAGUUGAGGCACAUGGGGAGAUGGACACCUUUGCUGGCCAGCCUGUUUGGUGUUCAGGUGGAAAAAUUCGUGUUUUGGGUGUGAAGAUUCAGG